CCCCUCUCAGGAUAGCACCUGGAGAGCUUCCAGUACUCUCCCAGUUUCGGCUAUGGGAGGGAGAGUCAAGCAGUGGUAUACCCAUUCCAUUCUUAGAUUGGGCAGUGGCUAGCAAGUGGAAGUCAAUCUGCUACAAGU